UGGGGCCAGAGCAGGGCAAUGGGGCUGGAGCAGGGCCUGGAGCACCAAUGGGAUAGGGAAGUGCUGAGGGAGCUGGGGGGUUCAGAUGGAGAAGAGAAGGCUCAGGGGGGACCUGAUGGCUCCUCCAAGUGCCUGCAGGAGGAUGGAGCCAGGAGGGGCUCUGCUCCCAAGGAACAAGGGAUGGGACAAGAGGGAACAGCCUCAAGCUGCACUAGGGCAGGUUUAGAUGGAGCUGAGGAACAAUUCCUGCCCCAUAUGGAGCUGAUGGGCACCUGAUCCAAGGGCUGCAUCCAGGGCAGAGGCUGAGCCAUUGCCCUGGGGGUACCUACAGGAACAUGGUGUGAAUGUGGUGCCUGUGGCCAUGGUGGCCUUGGCAGCACUGGGAGCCCUUGAGCUUGCUUCAAAGUCUUCACCCUGGUUGAUCCAAGGGGCUCAGGACUGUGCCUGCCCCUAUGGGUGCUGCCCCACUGGUGCUCACCCCACUGUACCCCCCCAACGGCACCCCGGCCACCAUGUCCCAGAUUGCCAAGGACGUCUGCACCUUCCUUCGGUGGGCGGCGGAGCCAGAACACGACCACCGCAAGAAAAUGGGCCUCAAGAUGCUGAUGAUCUCGGGGCUCCUCAUCUCCCUCCUGUACUACUUGAAGCGCCACAAGUGGUCGGUGCUGAAGAGCAGGAAGAUGGUUUAUCGGCCCCCCAAGUAGGGGGCUAUGGGGCGUCCCCCCCCUAUGGCUGCUGCAAUAAAGCCUGGCUUGAGCGAGGCUCAACGGGUGCCGGUUGUGCCGCGGCCGCCGUCGCUCCGGGCAUGGGAUGGGGGGGUUCUGGUGGCCCCAUUGGGACCCCCCCAUGUGCCGGUGCCACACUGGGCCCUAUGGCACCACCGUGUCCAUGUCCAUCCUCUCCUUUGGCUGUGGUUUCCGGUGUCCCCCGGUGAUGCCAACACUGGCUCAAUGGCAGUUCUGGCACCGGGGAUGGCACUUCUGACCAUUGACAUUGCACCGACACCCACCGCUGGUGUCACCAGGUCCCUGUGUGGAUACAGGCGCCGCGGUCACAACCGGAGCCCAUGGGUGGCAAUGGGGCUGUGGGUGCCACACUCACCGCAGGGCCCCAACGCGGUCCUUUGGUGACCCAGCAGAUCUCGGUCUGGCACACGGCACAGCGGAUCCAGUCACAACCGUCCUUCUUCUGCACCACGAUGAGGCAGGUGGGGCAGUGCAUGGCGUCACCGCGCUGCACCAGCGUCUAUGGGGACACCAUGGGGUGUGGGUGAGAGCUGGCACCUCACAACUGCAACCAGUGCUCCCAGUACCUCCCAGUGCUCCCAAUGCUCCCAGUACCUGAGCUCCAGUAUCUCGGGGUCAGUGAUGCGGGUGUUGGUCAUGUGACUCUGGACCCCACUGCGCCCCAGUGCUCCCAGUACCCCCAUUACCCCUAGUACCCCCAGUGCUCCCAGUAUCUCCCAGUACCUCCCAGUGCUCCCCAGUGCUC
rnacentral:lncRNA from 14 species